AGCGUUAAAUUUAAAAUCAUACUUCUCUGCUACUUUGAUCUAUAAUUCUUAAAUUUGUAUCACUUUAAAUUCCUUUCUUCAACAGGUCUUGGAGACAUGGAAACUUAUUGGGAACAGCGAAGUGAAUUUCAAGGAGUUUACACACAACCUUAUUGAACCUCUGUACCAGAAGCUGCAUGCCUUUGUGUCCAAAUAACUCUCCAGGCAUUAUACUUUUCUCAGGUCUACAAACAGCACUCAUUCCUGUUCAUCUAGGUAGGACAGAACCUUAGGGCACUGUAGCAGGCAAUGACUGGGCCUACAUUGCAGAUCAUGUAUUGUAUUCAAAAAGCUAUCAGCGCUUGCUUGCUUCAAUGACAAGGAAGGUGAGCAACAUUGGCCAUUUUUUAAACUUGUGUCCGAUGUAACAAAUGUUAUUGUUUUUCAAAAAGCAAAUAUAUUUUUGUAUAUGUGAAUUGUUUUAAGGAAGAAAUAAAAAAUAAUUGAUUAACUGGGA